rnacentral:tRNA from 1 species
GGGAACGUGGCUCAGUGGUAGAGCGCUUGCCUUGCAUGCAUAAGGCCCUGGGUUCGAUUCCUCAGCACCA